rnacentral:lncRNA from 1 species
AACCAAAGCCCAAACCCGAUUACAAAAUCCAAAGUCCCAAUUAGCCUAAACCCAAUUAACCUUAGCCCAAACACUAAACCCAAACUAACCUAAUGGCCCGAUGGCCCAACACCUAGCCUAACAGAGACCAAAACCCUAGCAGCAUUCGGCUCCCAGCGUCGCAGCAACCAGGACCCAUCACCUGCCCUCGCGCGUGCGCCACCAC